rnacentral:rRNA from 1 species
GACGAACGCUGGCGGCGUGCUUAACACAUGCAAGUCGAACGGAAAGGCCCUUCUUUUGUGGGGUGCUCGAGUGGCGAACGGGUGAUUAACACGUGAGUAACCUGCCCUUGACUUUGGGAUAACUUCAGGAAACUUGGGCUAAUACCGGAUAGGAUCUCCUGCUGCAUGGUGGGGGUUGGAAAGUUUCGGCGGUUGGGGAUGUACUCGCGGCUUAUCAGCUUGGUGGUGGGGUAGUGGCUUACCAAGGCUUUGACGGGUAGCCGUCCUGAGAGGGUGACCGGCCACAUUGGGACUGAGAUAAGGCACAGACUACAACGGGAGGCAGCAGUGGGGAAGAGUGCACAAGGGGAGGAAGCCAGAUGCAGCAACGCCGCGUGCGGGAUGACGGCAUUCGGGUUGUAAACCGAUGUCGCCUGAGACGAAGAGUGAGUGACGGUAAUGGGUAAAGAAGCACCGGCUAACUACGUG